AGAGUCGCGUUGUAAGAAGCAACAACCUCUCCACCUCCUCUCUGCCAUCUUCUCGGCAGCUGCAAAGCAACAACCUUGUGUGAAUGCAUCUCUAUCCACAUUGGCAAGGCUGGUGUUCAGAUCAGCAACACCUGCUGGGAGCUCUAUAGCCUGGAACGUGGCAUCCAGCCCGAUGGCCAGAUGCCAAGUGACAACACCAUUGGGGGAGGAGAUGACUCUUUCAACACCUUCUUCAGUGAGACGGGUGCUGGCAAGCAUGUGCCCAGGGCAGUGUUUGUAGACCUGGAACCCACAGUCAUUGAUGAAGUUCGCACUGGCACCUACUGCCAGCUCUUCCACCCUGAGCAGCUCAUCACCG
rnacentral:lncRNA from 1 species